GACGAACGCUGGCGGCGUGCCUACUACAUGCAAGUCGAACGAGUGGCUAACGGGUGAGUAACGCGUCAUAACCUGUCCUUCCGCGGGGGAUAACAGUUGGACACGACUGCUAAUACCUCAUACUGCAGUAGGGGAUUGCGUCUGAUUAGCUCGUUGGUUGGUUAAAGGCCUACCAAGGCGACGAUCCUGAACUGGUCUGGAAGGAUGAGCAGUCACAAUGGAACUGAUACACGGUCCAGACUACUACGGGAGGCAGCAGUGGGGUAUAUUGAACAAUGGGCGAAAGCCUGAUCCAGCCAUGCCGCGUGUGUGAAGAAAGUAUUCGGAUUGUAAAGCACUUUAAGUUGGGAGGCGUUACCAACAGAAUAAGCACCGGCUAACUUCGUGCCAGCAGCCGCGGUAAUAC
rnacentral:rRNA from 1 species